rnacentral:lncRNA from 1 species
AUCUAAGAUUGAAGAUAUGUAAUUUUAAAUUAAGAGAAAAAUGGAAGAGAAAAAUUUAAGGAAGAAGAAGAGCUCAUUUGAUGAGCUUUAUAAUCUUCAGUUUCAGCGUAAGCUAAUAAAAAAAAAAACUGAAGUAUGACACAUGGCGUUUUGUGAUUGGGUUGUUUUGGUAAGUGGUGAUCGGUCUUUUUCGGCUGGCUAAUCUUGUUUUUUUCUACACCGCCUUUGUGUUAGUCGAAAAUCAGGAAUCACGUGAGGUAAGGUUCACGGAUU